rnacentral:rRNA from 1 species
UACAGAGGUCCCAAGCGUUGUUCGGAUUCAUUGGGCGUAAAGGGUGCGUAGGCGGCGCGGUAAGUCGGGUGUGAAAUCUCGGAGCUUAACUCCGAAACUGCAUUCGAUACUGCCGUGCUUGAGGACUGGAGAGGAGACUGGAAUUUACGGUGUAGCGGUGAAAUGCGUAGAUAUCGUAAGGAAGACCAGUGGCGAAGGCGGCUCACUGGACCGGUUCUGACGCUGAAGCGCGAAAGCGUGGGGAGCAAACGGG